rnacentral:rRNA from 1 species
GAUGAACGCUGGCGGCGUGCCUAGUACAUGCAAGUCGAGCGAACGGACGAGAAGCUUGCUUCUCUGAUGUUAGCGGCGGACGGGUGAGUAACACGUGGAUAACCUACCUAUAAGACUGGGAUAACUUCGGGAAACCGGAGCUAAUACCGGAUAAUAUUUUGAACCGCAUGGUUCAAAAGUGAAAGACGGUCUUGCUGUCACUUAUAGAUGGAUCCGCGCUGCAUUAGCUAGUUGGUAAGGUAACGGCUUACCAAGGCAACGAUGCAUAGCCGACCUGAGAGGGUGAUCGGCCACACUGGAACUGAGACACGGUCCAGACUCCUACGGGAGGCAGCAGUAGGGAAUCUUCCGCAAUGGGCGAAAGCCUGACGGAGCAACGCCGCGUGAGUGAUGAAGGUCUUCGGAUCGUAAAACUCUGUUAUUAGGGAAGAACAUAUGUGUAAGUAACUGCGCACAUCUUGACGGUACCUAAUCAGAAAGCCACGGCUAACUACGUG